UAACACAUGCAAGUCGAACGAUGAUGCCCAGCUUGCUGGGUGGAUUAGUGGCGAACGGGUGAGUAACACGUGAGUAACCUGCCCCUGACUCUGGGAUAAGCGUUGGAAACGACGUCUAAUACUGGAUAUGAUCACUGGCCGCAUGGUCUGGUGGUGGAAAGAUUUUUUGGUUGGGGAUGGACUCGCGGCCUAUCAGCUUGUUGGUGAGGUAAUGGCUCACCAAGGCGACGACGGGUAGCCGGCCUGAGAGGGUGACCGGCCACACUGGGACUGAGACACGGCCCAGACUCCUACGGGAGGCAGCAGUGGGGAAUAUUGCACAAUGGGCGAAAGCCUGAUGCAGCAACGCCGCGUGAGGGAUGACGGCCUUCGGGUUGUAAACCUCUUUUAGUAGGGAAGAAGCGAAAGUGACGGUACCUGCAGAAAAAGCACCGGCUAACUACGUGCCAGCAGCCGCGGUAAUACGUAGGGUGCAAGCGUUGUCCGGAAUUAUUGGGCGUAAAGAGCUCGUAGGCGGUUUGUCGCGUCUGCUGUGAAAUCCCGAGGCUCAACCUCGGGCUUGCAGUGGGUACGGGCAGACUAGAGUGCGGUAGGGGAGAUUGGAAUUCCUGGUGUAGCGGUGGAAUGCGCAGAUAUCAGGAGGAACACCGAUGGCGAAGGCAGAUCUCUGGGC
rnacentral:rRNA from 1 species